AACACAAAGUCAAAAAAGUACAAAAAAGUAAAAAAGCUCAAAAUAUAAAAAUCACAUGUAUAUUUACCUGACAUCUAUUGGAAAAAAAAUAACUAAAAAAGCUCUUUUGUUUUUGAAGUUUUAAAUUUCAAAUAAAAUUUUUUUUUUAAAGUAAACAAGGGAAGUUCGACCUGGAUGAAGUUCGACUUUGAGGGAAUCGACUACCUAUGUAUAAUUGAAAAAAAAACUACACCCAUUAAAAUGGCGUUGACAGCUUUUGAAAAUGCGACGAAAACUAUCCUAACAAACACUGAGUCAUUUGUUGCAAAAUGUUGCAAGUCUGAAGUAUUUUCGCUUUUUAUCCCAGAGCGGCGGAUUUCUCUUUGAAUGAUGGUUAUCAGAAACUCAUCCUCAGCUUCUGCAAAAUAGAUUUUUUUUUACGUGAAGAAUUAAAAAAAAAACUUCAAUUUAACAGACCAUUCGAUUCCAAAAUCCAAGUCUUUUAUGAUCCAUUCUUUAAACGCACAGAAGCAACAAAAUAAAUGAGUUUCUUCAAUUUAAAUUGAACCAUUACAAAAUCUUUGAAUGUCCCAUAAUGUAUUUAGGUAUACAAAUAUUCUAAAACAUUUAAUAAUGUUAUUUCUUGCUUACGGCAUUGUUUUCCAGACGUUUUUAUAAAUUUAGCUGAUAAUUUUUUGAUAUUAUUUUGAAA